AAAAAUAUUAAGUUGUUAACUCGAGACGCACUUGACGCGAAGCUUCGUGCUUUAAUGGACUUGCAUUUUGUUGCCAUUGCCGCCAGUUGCCAUGCACAUUUAUUAGAAAACUUGACUUAAGACUUAACUCCUUAAGUCUGAAACGCCAGGACGAAUAUAAUUCGCAUAUUAUUGUGGUAGUUAUCUCAAUCGACUCAAUGCAAAACGAAGUUUAUUCCAUUGCUAGGUGAAACGCUC